ensembl:lncRNA
AAUGAACUCUGCCUCCCACCCUCUCCCACUGUGACUUGCUGUGAAUAAGCGCUGCUCGAAGGAAACCAUGGUGAGGGCUCUGCCUCCUUCCAGCAGAAACAGCCGAGUGAGGCUCAGCGCUGCUCCUCCAGGAAACAUCUUUACCAGCACAGGAACUACAGCUUUGUAAUUGGCCUGGUGCAAGAACAUGACAGCGUUUUCUCAUCCUAUCAGGACUCGGAUAUUUUGGGAGCUGGUAUAUAAGGCGCACAGCACACAGUGUCUCUUGGACAUUAGGAACAGGUUCAUGUGAGAAAUCAGUGUGCUUUGCUAUUUUAGUGGUUGCUAUAGUUGCAGCAUGAAUGAUUUUUUUCUGGCCUGCCGCAAUUCGGGGCGAUGUUUUCUUAUAGUUCAUAUGUAUACUUUUAUUAUUUGAGCGCAGAUGGACGUACUUAAAGUAAUUAACAUGGUGAUGCAAGUCUUGUAAAGAAGUCCUUAGCAAAUAAGCAGCAAAGCCCUAAAUCACAUAAAUGGAGGCCUCGUUGAGCUUUCGUUAAGCGCUCAGACUUCGAUGGCGUGGGACUGAGCUCCAUCCAAGCCCAUUUCAGGUUUCUCCAGAUGAUAAAAGCGCUCCGUUUGGUCUCUGAAAUAAGAAGCGCUCGUUGUGCUGAACGAUCUGUGUUGGAAGGAAUGGCCCUCAUGGCAAAGAGUCCAAUAACUCUCCAACGGGUGUGAGAUCCGAGUCAGCAGCAUUUAAUGGAGCUGUGAAGAGCUGAGCGGGAAGGCGGCCAAUAGUGCAAUUAAUAUUCUGUACAGAGUUGCACCACUCUGAUGACAGCAAACCUCGUUUGGAGCACAUGACAAAGCUGCAGUGUUUUUUCCAUAGCUGCCAUCAGUGUUUGGAUCCAAAGUAACCGUAACCACUAAAAAUGAGGAAUGACAGCAAACCCAACACCAGCAACUGCAGCCCGAAGUGCAUCCUGGGAAGCACAUAAUGACACUGGUAACUCGCCCUCGGCCGUAUGGGAGGUUCAACAUCUCAUCAGCCACAAGGUGACAGCCUCCAGUCCAGAGCCAUUAAAAGCUUCCUCAGCAGAAGAAAGGUUCUGAGCCCAAUGCUGUGGCUCUGGGGCCCACUCAGGAAUCAGCAGGCAUUGGUCACAACAGCCACCCACCAGGACAUGGAGGACACUGCAGUGAUGUGAGCUUAUUUGCAGAGCUGGUU